AUUGAACGCUGGCGACAUGCCUUACACAUGCAAGUCGAACGGUAACAGCUCUUCGGAGGCUGACGAGUGGCGAACGGGUGAGUAAUACAUCGGAACGUGCCCGAUCGUGGGGGAUAACGGAGCGAAAGCUUUGCUAAUACCGCAUACGAUCUACGGAUGAAAGCAGGGGACCCUCGGGCCUUGCGCGAACGGAGCGGCCGAUGGCAGAUUAGGUAGUUGGUGGGAUAAAAGCUUACCAAGCCGACGAUCUGUAGCUGGUCUGAGAGGACGACCAGCCACACUGGGACUGAGACACGGCCCAGACUCCUACGGGAGGCAGCAGUGGGGAAUUUUGGACAAUGGGCGAAAGCCUGAUCCAGCAAUGCCGCGUGCAGGAUGAAGGCCUUCGGGUUGUAAACUGCUUUUGUACGGAACGAAAAGUCUCGGGCUAAUACCCUGGGACCAUGACGGUACCGUAAGAAUAAGCACCGGCUAACUACGUGCCAGCCGCCGCAGUAAAAC
rnacentral:rRNA from 1 species